UAGGGGCUCUCAGGGACAGAAUUUAACAACCAACAAGAGUUAAAGUCUCAGCCUAUACAGUCUGAGAAGCAUAUGAUUCACUCUUGCAUUAAAUUAUAUACAUUUGCAUGAGUCUGCACAGACUUUUAGAACAACCUGAUCUUAUGAGGAAAUUGCAUCUGUUCCUGAGUAUAGUUAUAAGAAUAAUCUAGCAGGAGAACUAGACUGUUAGUGCCACCUCAUCCUAGUAACAAAUCCAAAAAAAAUAGGGAAAGAAGGUUCAAACAUUCAAGCAAACCCACAAUGUUUCCAUUCUGGUCUCUUUCAGAAAAGAGGCUCACUGCCGUCACCUGGGAAGGGUGAAAUAUUAAGAAACAUGACACCUACUUCUGUCAUGUGUGCCUGCAGUGAUCAUCCACAUUUAUGCCACUAUUCACCAAAGGUGACAGACUGGAAACUAAGGGACUGCUCAGGUGAAAGAUCUGCCAUGUCUUGCAUUGAACCACAGGCGAGCUCUAAUUCAUCUGGUGAAACCUGCUCUCAGAUACACAAGUACUGAGAAACUCAUGAGAUCAUAUUCAGAUACAAAAAGGAUCCCAGAACAUUUUCCCACAGCUCUUGGAAGCUUCUGUUCAUUUCAAGCCAGUGGCACUUUAAAUGGCCUACCCCUUCUAGGAAAAAAGAGAAGAUUUAAAUCAGAACAGGACCUGUUAUGCAAUACAACAUUGCAUUAACACAAACACAACUACUUAAGGUUUGGCAGCUUGUGAUUAAUACCAAGCCUAGUCCACCUCCCAGGAAAGAUAAUUUCCAAUUGAUUUCUAUGGGUUUUGGCUCAGGCCCACACUGCACAUGCUGUGGAUUGUUCUUCUCAUCCUAGGCUCUCAGAAGUAGUAAACAAAUAGGAAUGAACUCAGAAGGGGAAGAAGUGUCCCAGUUUCUCCCUAUUUUUGCAUGGGCCAAUUCUAUGGGACUAGGUAACUUCCUGGUAUCCUUUAAUUUGAGGUCUUUUUUACAGUUUUGAGAGUAGCACUGUGACACAUUUGAAACAUCUAUUCUCUCAUGGCCAGCUGGCUUAGUAACCAUAAUAACCUUGUUCCACUGAAGUGCAGUAAAAAUAUAUAAAAGCCGCAAUUUCUCUGAUUCCAGGCUCCUACUGUGAAAAUAGCAAAAAGACCAAAGUCUUUUCUAGGGGAAAAAAAAAAAAAAAAGUAGAUAAAUUUUAAAUUUUCUGUGUUGCUGCUGCUCACUGAAAUUUCCUUCUGACAGCAGUUCAAUGGUAACAGAAUUGAGCAAUAUGCUCCACAGGAAAAGAUAACAAAGAAUCGAUGUCUAAACAAUUUCAGGAUCAUCUCUAAAUUUGAUGUCCAGCAGAUUAGUUUAUAUCAUAAUGGUUCCUUGGUCCUAUUUUAAGCAUCUUAGAGAAGGACACUUUGUAACCCAGUCAAAAUGCUUCCUUAUCAACAGAAAUCAAUAUCCAACAAGACAGCAAUGGCCUCUCCCAAAUUUUGUUAAUGCUCACUACAGGAGCACUUAAAAUAUUAAUCCCAGGGAACCCACUGCAAAAUUGAGCAAGUUUUAAAUAAUCCAGCAUGGUAAAAGGAGCUUCUAACAAUUCAUUAGGAAAAAAUAAGAUUACCUUUUCCUGGGAAGAGCCUGGAAAAAGGAGAUUGCUGGUUCUUCCUUCAUUCACACAGACCAACUAGUUCUGGGUGGCUGUGCCUGUUUGACUUGGUCUUGAGACAAGGCAACUCUCAACACCUCUUGGAAAUAUAAGAGAAUAGAUCAUAUAUAUCUCAUAUAUAUAUGCACACAUACACACACACUUUUAUAUAUAUAUAUAUGUUUGUGUGUGUGUGUCUGUUCUUCACAGACAUAUAUAUAUUCCUGUGUGCAUCGGGUAUCCUCACCUGUGUUUUUGGAGUAGGGCUCCUAGGACAAUGAUGUGCUUGAUUCCAUGCAUGGCACAUAAAUCUUCAUUGUAGUGGCUGGACAUAUUAACAUAUUAACAGCACAGCUACAGACACCUUAAAUGAUGGCCAAUACUGAGAAGUAGAUACUGACAAGCUGAGUAUUGCACACUGCUCUCUUCGAUUGAAUCAUCAUUGACUUGAUUUCAUCCUUCAUUAUACUCAUUCUUCUUAACAUUUUGCUGAAGUCCACUUUGCUUCUACUUACAACUUUCUGAUCCUUACAUUAGUGACCCUCAUCAGCUGGUGGAUUUUUUGAUUCAGAGCACCUCCAGCUACCUCUGUUACACUCUGCAAAUCUGCAUUCUAACUUACCUCUAUUCUCAUUUCCCUGAGGUUCAUUCCAUGCACCCCUCUUGCCCAGCUAUCCAUAACAGUAGCUGGACCUACAACACCCUAGUGCAGUUGUGUUCCUACUUUCCAGGACCUUGUAUCCAAUAGAGCAAAACACCAUGUCUUUAAAAUCCUCCCUCUCUUUUUCUAAAGCACCUGAGUGUGGCACCAGCUGACUGUCAGACAGUUUCCCAGUCUCAACAAAAGCCAAUACAGGAAAGAAAAAUGAAGCGAACUGGAAGAGAGGGAUCUGUCUGAGCCAAGCGUAAAGAAGCUCACAGCAGCUUGAAGAAGAAUGGAAGAAAUUAUCUGCUUUGUUGAUGUAUCAGACCAAAAACUAUUCAUCUUGCACGGCCUUUGCACAGAAAAGUGUUCACAAGGGGAAUGCUUCUCAUUCCUCUCCCUCUCUAAACCAGAAUGGAUGGGGCAUUCUUCUGCAAAUAUUGCAGGAAUAAAAAUGGAAUUCUCCUGUCCUGAUCAGCCAAGUACAUUUUUAUCUGUGGUGGCAGAAAAAAUUUAAUGCUGGAAAAAGUAUUGCACAAACUGCAGCUUAGUGGGAUUCAUAAUCACUCUUGUUUAUUGCCGAUUGUUUUAAAGGAUCUGGUGGAUCACUGGAAUUACUGAUGGGAUGGAGAAUAAAAGGGAUGAUUGUGUCAUAUGCUUGAGACAUAAAAGGUACAUAGAUUUACCUACCUGAUGUUCCAGGAUAGGCACUGAGUAAUUUUGUGCUGCCUAAUUUAGAAACAGACUCUGGUCUCUUUUCUCAAUUGCAAGGGUGAUUAAAUUCUGAGCUAAUUAAACUGCAUAGUAAUUA